CCCGCACAAGCGGUGGAGCAUGUGGUUUAAUUCGUAGCAAGCCGCAGAACCUUACCAUCCUUUGACAUGGCGUGUUACCCAGAGAGAUUUGGGGUCCACUUCGGUGGCGCGCACACAGGUGCUGCAUGGCUGUCGUCAGCUCGUGUCGUGAGAUGUUGGGUUAAGUCCCGCAACGAGCGCAACCCACGUCCUUAGUUGCCAUCAUUCAGUUGGGCACUCUAGGGAGACUGCCGGUGAUAAGCCGCGAGGAAGGUGUGGAUGACGUCAAGUCCUCAUGGCCCUUACGGGAUGGGCUACACACGUGCUACAAUGGCGGUGACAGUGGGACGCGAAGGAGCGAUCUGGAG
rnacentral:rRNA from 1 species